UGGGGAAUAUUGGACAAUGGGCGAAAGCCUGAUCCAGCCAUGCCGCGUGUGUGAAGAAGGUCUUCGGAUUGUAAAGCACUUUAAGUUGGGAGGAAGGGCAGUAAAUUAAUACUUUGCUGUUUUGACGUUACCGACAGAAUAAGCACCGGCUAACUCUGUGCCAGCAGCCGCGGUAAUACAGAGGGUGCAAGCAUUAAUCGGAAUUACUGGGCGUAAAGCGCGCGUAGGUGGUUCGUUAAGUUGGAUGUGAAAUCCCCGGGCUCAACCUGGGAACUGCAUUCAAAACUGACGAGCUAGAGUAUGGUAGAGGGUGGUGGAAUUUCCUGUGUAGCGG
rnacentral:rRNA from 1 species